rnacentral:rRNA from 1 species
UACGAAGGGUGCAAGCGUUACUCGGAAUUACUGGGCGUAAAGCGUGCGUAGGCGGUUUGUUAAGUCCGUUGUGAAAGCCCUGGGCUCAACCUGGGAAUUGCAGUGGAUACUGGCGAGCUAGAGUGCGGUAGAGGAUGGUGGAAUUCCCGGUGUAGUGGUGAAAUGCGUAGAUAUCGGGAGGAACACCAGUGGCGAAGGCGACUUCCUGGCCUGUUCUUGACGCUGAGGCGCGAAAGCUAGGGGAGCAAACGGG